AACGAACGCUGGCGGCAUGCCUAACACAUGCAAGUCGAACGAAGCCUUCGGGCUUAGUGGCGCACGGGUGCGUAACGCGUGGGAAUCUGCCCUUUGGUUCGGAAUAACAGUUGGAAACGACUGCUAAUACCGGAUGAUGACGAAAGUCCAAAGAUUUAUCGCCAGAGGAUGAGCCCGCGUAGGAUUAGCUAGUUGGUGUGGUAAAGGCGCACCAAGGCGACGAUCCUUAGCUGGUCUGAGAGGAUGAUCAGCCACACUGGGACUGAGACACGGCCCAGACUCCUACGGGAGGCAGCAGUGGGGAAUAUUGGACAAUGGGCGAAAGCCUGAUCCAGCAAUGCCGCGUGAGUGAUGAAGGCCCUAGGGUUGUAAAGCCCUUUUACCCGGGACGAUAAUGACAGUACCGGGAGAAUAAGCCCCGGCUAACUCCGUGCCAGCCGCCGCCGUAAGAC
rnacentral:rRNA from 1 species